rnacentral:rRNA from 1 species
UGGGGAAUUUUGGACAAUGGGGGCAACCCUGAUCCAGCCAUGCCGCGUGCGGGAAGAAGGCCUUCGGGUUGUAAACCGCUUUUGUCAGGGAAGAAAUCCUCUGGGUUAACACCUCGGGGGGAUGACGGUACCUGGAGAAUAAGCACCGGCUAACUACGUGCCAGCAGCCGCGGUAAUACGUAGGGUGCAAGCGUUAAUCGGAAUUACUGGGCGUAAGCGUGCGCAGGCGGUUGUGCAAGACAGAUGUGAAAUCCCCGGGCUUAACCUGGGAACUGCAUUUGUGACUGCACGGCUGGAGUGCGGCAGAGGGGGAUGGAAUUCCGCGUGUAGCAGUGAAAUGCGUAGAUAUGCGGAGGAACACCGAUGGCGAAGGCAAUCCCCUGGGCCUGCACUGACGCUCAU